rnacentral:rRNA from 1 species
UAGGGAAUCUUCCGCAAUGGGCGAAAGCCUGACGGAGCAACGCCGCGUGAGUGAUGAAGGUCUUCGGAUCGUAAAACUCUGUUAUUAGGGAAGAACAAAUGUGUAAGUAACUAUGCACGUCUUGACGGUACCUAAUCAGAAAGCCACGGCUAACUACGUGCCAGCAGCCGCGGUAAUACGUAGGUGGCAAGCGUUAUCCGGAUUUAUUGGGCGUAAAGCGCGCGUAGGCGGUUUUUUAAGUCUGAUGUGAAAGCCCACGGCUCAACCGUGGAGGGUCAUUGGAAACUGGAAAACUUGAGUGCAGAAGAGGAAAGUGGAAUUCCAUGUGUAGCGGUGAAAUGCGCAGAGAUAUGGAGGAACACCAGUGGCGAAGGCGACUUUCUGGUCUGUAACUGACGCUGAUGUGCGAAAGCGUGGGGAUCAAACAGG